CCCUUAGAUGUUCUGGGCUGCACGCGUGCUACAAUGGCGCUUGCAACAAGUCUUGCCAACCCGAUAGGGUGAGCGGAUCUUUGAAGAGGCGUCGUGAUCGGGACAGUUGAUUGCAAUUAUUCGACUCGAACGAGGAAUUCCUUGUAAUCGCGAUUCAUCAUAUCGCGCUGAAUACGUCCCUGCCCUUUGUACACACCGCCCGUCGCUCCUACCGAUUGAGCGAUCCGGUGAAUGUUUUGGACUGGCGUCAGAAGCGGUUCGCUCCUGACACUACGAAAGUUUGUAAACCUUAUCGCUUAGAGGAAGGAAAAGUCGUAACA
rnacentral:rRNA from 1 species